rnacentral:lncRNA from 1 species
UCACAUCCGCUCCCAUAGUUUCACUCGUUCUAUUACCCCUUUCCUCUUACAAGCAAAGCUUCAGUAUUCUUAACUAUGGCAGAAGCUUGCCUCGCCGAUUUUGAGUAAGUCCUUUGUCUCUCUUCAAAACCCGUGACUCUUCUCUCUCUCUCUCAUUUGCAACGAGAUUUAGUCAACACAAGAGGCCAAAAGACUUUGGGCAUUUCGAUUUUUCUGACCAAAUCACGUGAGGCUCUUUCGAAUUACAACGUUCAGAUUCAAACGGUUUUUUUUACUGAAAUUCAAAUCCUUGAUUUCAAAUUUCUGCUCAAGAGGACCCAUCCAAAAUCAUCUCUCAAAGAACCCUAACUUUCCUCUAAAAAUACCCUCUUUUGUUUUCAGACGAAGCAGAGGUGGAAGGAACAAGAAUCACCACUUUACAUUGUCCAAAAUACUAAGUCUAAGAAGGACUCCGCCUUUGCUCGAACACUAUCAGUUUUACUCUUACCGUUGUUAACUUUCUUUCUAUCUCGUUUAACUUUGGUCGUGACAGAUAUUCGAACUCGUUCGGCUUGAAGUUCGGAUCUGUUCGUGACAAUAUAGAGUAGAUUCGGGAUUCGAUGCCCUAGUUCACUAUCCCACAAAAGGUAAUAGUCGACCCUGCUUCAGGUUCUCCUAUUUAAUUUAAAAUAUUGUGUUUACAUAGAAGAAUCGCGUUUUAGGUUUCCUUUUCUUUAGUUGUCACUAUUUUUAAGUUUUGUUCUUGGUCGAGUUUAGUAUAAGCAUUGCGCUAGAAAUUAUGCUUUAACUUUUCUCUAAUCGCAUCUAGAUAUAUUGUUAUUUUGGACAACCUGUCGUGGUAUCAUGCCUUUAGAUUUUCUUAAAAAUCAGAAUUAUGUUUAAAGUUAUGACCUGAACAUGUACUUAGUGAAAAUCAUGCUUUUAGGGUCUGUUGUCAUCUUUGCGUGAAUAUUAAAACUUAGGACCUUGUUUCUGAUCAAUGUGAUGUUCUCUAGGUAUUAGGCCAAGGAUCUCGUUUUUGUGAAUUGGGAUCAUAUGAGAAAAAUCAUGUCUGCUCCUAUCUUUUCUUGAAAGAUGAUGAAUUAUAUUAAGUUUUGAAAUACCUCAAAUUGAAACAGAUUCUAGUUGACUCGAUUCACUAUGAUAAAACACUGAUUCUGAGCUUACAAGUUCUUUUUUAUAAAUAUUGACAUCCUUUUGCUACUGUCGAAUGUUGUAAAAUAUGUCAUUACCUACUCACGUUUAAAUCAACUUUUAUUUGAUUCCUAUAGAGUGGACUUUAAGACUUUAUAUUGAUACUGAAUAAGAAUAUUUACUUUUGAAAAAGAAGUGAGAAUUCUUCUUAAGGAUUUCAUACUAUUAACUUAUAAAAAUAGUUGCUUCUCUUACGUUCCAGGUUAGAGUAACAUAAUUAAGCAUGCUUUUGCCAGCAUUAGAAUUUCAAGUUGUGUAUUCUUUUUUCUGCUUAAUCUUUCUUCAUUACUUUUUGUAUUUUGUUUUUGAUUCUCCCUCUACCUACUCCUAAUUUUUUCUUUCUUUAUUUUGUUUUGCAUGAUCACCGGAGCCCAAGAGUUUCACUUUAAGACUCGAUGCCGCAGUGGCACUACAUGGAGUCUAUACAUCCUCACCUUUCCUGCUUUUGCGUUACCUAGACAACAAUAAAUAGAGAAGAGAAAACCUUCUGGGGAGCUGAACUGGCUCUUUACAACUUCAUUUUACUUCAUUUAUGGCGUACAUGUUAAAUAUUUUUAUUUUGAUUGUGUCAUUGAUUGUUAAGAUCUGAAGUUACGAUACAAUUAUAGCUAUAUCUUGUUUAACUGUGCAGGUUUUAUUUUAUAACGAAAGUACUUACUUAUCAUAUAGGUAAUUACAGUUAACUGAAGCUCUUUAGAAUCUUGAUAUGUCUUAGAUGCUAGUUGUUAAAAUUAUUACAGUAAUAAUAACUUUUAAAUUUUAUCAAAUAGUAUUUCUAACACACGGUUGCUGCCAUCUAUGUUUUUCCUCUCACUGUUUCAAGCAUUCAAGUCAACUCUAUUUCUUUGCUUUCUAUAAUAACAUUUCUGAAUUAUUGCUGCCAUCUAUGUUUUUCCUCUCUACUGUUUCAAGCAUUCAAGUAACAUCUAUUUUCUUUGCUUUCUAUAAUAACAUUUCUGAAUUAACUUGUCUGAUGUUUAAGAUUUGAAUUUAACAAGUUAAAAUUGGCUUUUUGGACUAGAUCCACUUUUAGGCAAGAAAGAGCGUUUUUCAAUGUUAGAAGCUUAAAUCAAUUUUCCUUCAAGACAAAGAAAACUCUUCAACAUGGUUUUUUAAAGUAAAUCUGAUUUUCGAAAGAUCUCUAUAUUUACACAUCGCAUUAAUUAAUGUAAGUCCGGUCCGGAUGUUAAAGGGUGACUUAAAAACCUUUCCUUUAGAUUAAAUACCUAGAAUUUUAGGUUAAUAAUAUUAACAAAGUUAUACUUUAUUAAUACUUUAAUCAAUUUAGGUGUUCUAAUUUAGAAAUAAUUAGGUGACGACUCUUUUUACUUUAAUAAAAUUCAGAAUUGCUUGUAUGUUGUACCUUACUUUAACCUGUUUAAAAUGGGGUAUAACAGCUGGUCAAUCUCUUUUUGAGGUUUUGCAGGAUGAUUUUGUUCGUGGACUCUGCUUGCCCGUUUCCACUGGGGUGGUAGGGUGUUGACAGGAUCCUUUUGAUCUUAUUGUCUUCCGAAAACUUGCUUACUUUGCUGCCAAUGAACUGUUUCCCAUUGUCGCACACGAUCUCAACAGGCAUUCUGCACCGGCAUAUUAUGUGGUCCCAGAUGAAAUUAAUGACUUCCUUCUUCCUGACUUUUUUGAAUGCCUG